GCGACGGUUAGGGGGGCCCGACGUUUAUAAUAUUAUAGAUGUCAGGCCCCCUCCUAACCAACGUCUAUAUGGUCACUUAUUUAUGAAAAUGCCACCGGUCAAUAAUUUACGUUGGAUAUUUUUUGGUCCAACGUCUAAGGGGUGACGUUAAAGGCCAAUUAUGCACUAGUGUAGGAAUAAUUAAUGUUGGGUGGGGUUCCUGCUGCACAAGCUUGAAUGAAAGAUUGAAGAACAAGGUCUAUUUGAGUGGCUUUCUGAAUUUUUAUCAUCAAUUCAUUCUCUCUAAAUGACCAUGCCAUAAAGAAGGAUCUGGAUAGGGCAUUCGCAGCUUGGUUAUCCUUCCC
rnacentral:lncRNA from 1 species